AUUGAACGCUGGCGGCAUGCCUAACACAUGCAAGUCGAACGGCAGCGCGGACUUCGGUCUGGCGGCGAGUGGCGGACGGGUGAGGAAUGCAUCGGAAUCUGCCCCGACGUGGGGGAUAACUUGGGGAAACUCAAGCUAAUACCGCAUACGUCCUACGGGAGAAAGCAGGGGACCUUCGGGCCUUGCGCGGCGGGAUGAGCCGAGGCCGGAUUAGCUUGUUGGUGGGGUAAAGGCCCACCAAGGCGACGAUCCGUAGCUGGUCUGGGAGGAUGAUCAGCCACACCGGGACUGAGACACGGCCCGGACUCCUACGGGAGGCAGCAGUGGGGAAUAUUGGACAAUGGGGGCAACCCUGAUCCAGCAAUGCCGCGUGUGUGAAGUAGGCCUUCGGGUUGUAAAGCACUUUUAUCAGGAAAGAAAUCCCACGGGUUAAUACCCUGUGGGGAUGACGGUACCUGAGGAAUAAGCACCGGCUAACUUCGUGCCAGCAGCCGCCGUAA
rnacentral:rRNA from 1 species